CUUCCUAAUGACAGACACGGGUCUCUGGGCAGUGAAUCAACAACCACAAGUGGAAGUGAGCGAGAGCCAGACACAAAUAUUGUCGUUCCCCUGACACCUCCCACCAGGCACCUCCAUGCUGGGCCUGGGUGAGGGCUGAAGCAGACACUGGGCCUGGUCCUGCCAGCAGGAUUUCCAUCUGCCAACACAGCUGAAGGUCCACCCUUGUCUUCUGUAUGGGCCCCACGGAGGGCUGCUGGCGGUGGUGGUGAGUUGGUGAUGUUGGAAAGGUGCUGGUGGUGCUGCCAGAUACCAUCAGCACAUGUGGGAAGGCAGAUGAAGUUCUUUAUCUGUACAAGCAUGAAGACACCAAGACACACGUGGGAUUGCUUUUGCCUGAGGCCACACUGCAUCAAUUGUCCUGAAAAGAGUCACUCUGCAGUUGAUACAGGUGCGAUUUCAUGCUCGGAAACUGACUGCCAAGUUGUGUGAGCACCCCGGGACUGUAAGUGAUAAAACAAAAUUACGCAUGUAGUGGGAGUGGGCAAACAGCAGAUUUACGCGUUGCAGGCAGUUUCAGUGAUGUGCGUACCUGGCCAUAAUCUUGUUUUGGUUCCAUUGAAGCUUUCUUUUUUUUGCAAAUCAACAGGCUGGGGGAGGAAAAAAAGUCAUCAGUUUUGAUCAAAUUAAAUGUCUUGUUCAGUGUGAAAAAGAACACUUAUUUUGGUGACUGAGCUCUGCAAACAUUGUCUAAUAGAAUCCAAAUAACAUCAGAAAGGAAAUGUCAUUCUGAACCAGCGAUCAGAGGGCUUUUUUAGGAUGUGUCAAAAGAGAAGGCGCCCAGUUUUCUGGAGUGUUUUUUUCCUAGGGCUUCAGUUUAGCUACUUUGAACAGCACAAGCUGAUGGAAAUGCCACAAAUUCACAGGCAGCUCAGAUGUGGAUCUUCCUAAGAAAAACUGUCCUAAGGAGAGGAGUCUGUCAGGCAGCCUGUCUGUGUCUCCAUGAAUGAGGUGCAGACCAGCUCCAGAGUGAGGCCAUGGUGGUUCUCUGCCAGCCGGAGCGAGCUUUGCUGUGGGGACGCCAGCCCCCCUUCACCGUGUCCCCCCCUGCUCCUCCUGUGCAAAAGUUAUUGUCGUCUUCGUGGAGUCUCAGGUAGGCAGAUGAAUGGGAAAUGUUCCUCUCCAUUACUAGCUGCACUUGACUGGAGUCUCAUUACAUUACGAUGGCGCUUUAGCAGGCGAAUGGGCCUUGCGUCUGGGUUCCCAGCACCCCUCAUACCUCCCUGAUAACGUAAAUUACCCUCCGCCUCAUUGCCUCAAAUGAUCAAACAUCAAAUUGCUAGUAAAAAAAAAAAAAAAAAAAAAAAAGAAGAAGAAGAAAAAAAAAAGAAAAAAAAAAAGAGGAAAAAAGAGAGAGAGAGAGAGGAGGGAAAGGAGAAAAGCUGAACAGAACCAUGGGUUGAAUCUAGAUGGUUUGU
rnacentral:lncRNA from 1 species